AGUGGUCGCUCGCGCCUGCCUCUCUGUAGGAUUCGGCCAACAUGUUCGAAGACUGGGACCCCCGGCAUGAGCUCGGCGACAGCGACGAGGAGGAGGAGGAGGAGGAGGAGGGCGUCGGCGACCCCUCCCGGGCGGGGGAUACCGAGGAGGCCCGUGGGGCCGAGGGGGGCCUGACCGGCCCAGGAGGCCGCCGGGCUCAGGAUGCGGUCUCUUGCCUCCCGCUGUGGAAGCGGGUCCAGGCUUCCCAGAGUUGCCAGCAGCACCUUUUGGGUCCCUACACCCUCCGGGAUCCACAGGCCCCAGGAGCCCUGAGCGGCAACGGAGCCGAGGACAUUCCCUGGAGAAAGGACACCCUGCUCUGGGGCCGACCUCCGGCGCACUGGGUGCAGGACNUCCGGGCCAUCUGCGCGCAAAAGUGGCGCGAGGGGCAGUCCUCCGGCUGCUGCUCCGCUCCUGCUGCUGUCAGAGGCCACGCUCCCGCCGUGUACUGGGAGUGCAGAGCAGCACCUUUGCCUCAUGAUGACUGCAGCGGGUUCUUCUCAGACCCACUGAUGCCACCAGGACACCAGAUCUGCCAUGGACCAUCUGGCAGCCCUCAGCAGGUCCUCCACCGGCUGUGCCUCGACCCGCCCCCUCCCAUUAUGUCUGUCCGUGAAUCUGGGCCCCCUCGCGAGCUCCAUGCCAGGGGUCAGGGGCUGUCUGCCACAGACUGCAAGGAGGGCUCGCCUCUUUGGGGCCAGGGCAUUGCCCCCCUCUUCCCAAGAGAAGCAGAACCGGACAAAUGGACCGAAGCCCUCGACCUGCGCCUGUCUGCGUCGAGGAACAGGUGCUCUCCGUGCCUGUCCACGGCUGGGGGCCCGGGGGAGAAAGCGCCCGCCCCCUCUCCUGGCGAGGGCACGGGGACCCACACGCCGGAGGAAGGAGCGAGUGGCUCCGGGCAAAGGGGCGCCCCGCUCCUCGCCUCGAGGUGAGGAGGGCUGGGAACGGAGCCACGGUGGCAGCUGCAAAGACCUGGGCUGCGAGGGGAACCNGUGCUGGGGGGCCGUCAGGCGAGGGAAGCAGAGAAGCUGGAGCCGCCCGGUGAGGGCACGAAGCGCCCGCCACAGGCUCCACGCAGGAGGAGGAGGAGGGUGUUGCUCCAUCCUGUGGACAGUUGGUUUGAUGGUGUUUUUGUUCAGAGGGGAGCAGCACUGCGGCCUUCCCUGGGAAGGGGCGGGGAGGCAGGGAGGACUCCACAGAAAAGGCCUCUGGGCCAGUUCUGCCCCCCCCCCACUGCUGCAGUUGAGUUCUUGGUCAGUAAGUUCAGUUGAUUUUGUUGCUGUUGACUUUUUAUUCGUCUUCGUUGUUGUGGCCUUAAAUAUAAAACAGUUGCAAAGAGUU
rnacentral:lncRNA from 1 species